CGCUGGCGGCGUGCCUAAUACAUGCAAGUCGAACGGUCUUUUCUAUGGAAGCUUGCUUCCACUGAGAAGAUAGUGGCGAACGGGUGAGUAACACGUGGGUAACCUGCCCAUAAGAGGGGGAUAACAUCCGGAAACGGGUGCUAAUACCGCAUAGUUUUCUUGAUCGCAUGAUCGGGAAAGGAAAGACGGCCUUUGUGCUGUCGCUUAUGGAUGGACCCGCGGCGUAUUAGUUAGUUGGUGAGGUAACGGCUCACCAAGACGAUGAUACGUAGCCGACCUGAGAGGGUGAUCGGCCACAUUGGGACUGAGACACGGCCCAAACUCCUACGGGAGGCAGCAGUAGGGAAUCUUCCGCAAUGGACGAAAGUCCGACGGAGCAACGCCGCGUGAGUGAAGAAGGUUUUUCCGGAUCGUAAAACUCUGUUGUCAGAGAAGAACAAGUUGGAGAGUAACUGCUCCAGCCUUGACGGUAUCUGACCAGAAAGCCACGGCUAACUACGUGCCAGCAGCAGC
rnacentral:rRNA from 1 species